UUGCUCGACCAUCCCAAGCCACUACUCGAUGCCUCGAUUGCGAUCCCAGCCGCCAGGGUGCUAGGGCAUGCUGAUCUGCUCGAUGCCUCGAUCUCCCCUCAAAAAAUUAAUAAGCUGAUCUGCUCGAUUUGUAACCAAAGGGUGGUUCAGUUCUGCUCCAUCAAUCGCAUCGAGAAUCCAUGGGCAGGCGACAUGGCGCAUGCGCAUCCUCCUGCCAUCGAGACAUCAAGAUCCGGCGACGCCGCGACGGACGACACGCCGACAGGGCCCCAGAUUUUACCGGCCCGGCCCUGCAUCAGUGAUACACCAUCUGCAACUUUGUCAUGAAGUUUUCCGUUGCCAUUUACCGAGUGGAGACAAUGUGGCCAUAAGGCCAUUAUGCUUGUCAACCAUGGAGAUUAUAAGUUUUGCUCCAUGUUGCUCUACAUGUUAAUUAAUUCAUUCAUUUACUCAAUGUUACUCUACAUGUUGUAUAGCCUGCACGCGUUGUCAUAACGUACUAUACGACCGAGGGCAGACCAUUCAUGCACACACAUUAUUGAAUGAAGCUCAAGGGGCAGUAUGUGUGGGACGACAUGUGCCGGCUCUGACUCUAAUAUUGUUGAAGUUGAAAUAUGAAUUCGAAAAACCUAAUGAACAUCCGGUUAUCUCAGAUGUAAUAUUUACUUAGGAUAUUUGUAUUUUAUUUAUGGAUGAAUUAUGCUAUUUUUUAUAAUUA